rnacentral:rRNA from 1 species
UGGGGAAUAUUGGGCAAUGGGCGCAAGCCUGACCCAGCAACGCCGCGUGAAGGAAGAAGGCCCUCGGGUUGUAAACUUCUUUUAUCAGGGACGAAGAAGUGACGGUACCUGAUGAAUAAGCCACGGCUAACUACGUGCCAGCAGCCGCGGUAAUACGUAGGUGGCAAGCGUUAUCCGGAUUUACUGGGUGUAAAGGGCGUGUAGGCGGGGUCGCAAGUCAGGCGUGAAAUUCCACGGCUCAACCGUGGAACUGCGUUUGAAACUGUGAUUCUUGAGUGAUGGAGAGGCAGGCGGAAAUUCCGUGUGUAGCGGUGAAAAUGCGUAGAUAUACGGAGGAACACCAGUGGCGAAGGCGGCCUGCUGGACAUUAAACUGACGCUGAGGCGCGAAAAGCGUGGGGAGCAAAACAGGAUUAGAUACC